CCUACGGGAGGCUGCAGUGGGGGAUAUUGCACAAUGGGGGAAACCCUGACGCAGCGACGCCGCGUGUGGGAAGACGGUCCUCUGGAUUGUAAACCACUGUCCCCAGGGACGAAGAUGACGGUACCUGGGAAGGCAGCUCCGGCUAACUACGUGCCAGCAGCCGCGGUAUUACGUAGGGAGCGAGCGUUGUCCGGAAUUACUGGGUGGAACGGGAGCGUAGGCGGGGCGGCAAGUUGGGUGUAAAAUCUACCGGCUCAACCGGUAGACGCACUCAAAACUGUAGUACUUGAGUGAAGUAGAGGAAGGCGGAAUUCCUAGUGUAGCGGUGAAAUGCGUAGAUAUUAGGAGGAACACCAGUGGCGAAGGCGGCCUGCUGGGCUUUUACUGACGCUGAGGCUCGAAAGUGUGGGGAGCAAACAGGAUUAGAUACCCGAGUAGUC
rnacentral:rRNA from 1 species